GAUGGACACGCGGUGCAUUAGCUAGUUGGUGAGGUAACGGCUCACCAAGGCCACGAUGCAUAGCCGACCUGAGAGGGUGAUCGGCCACAUUGGGACUGAGACACGGCCCAAACUCCUACGGGAGGCAGCAGUAGGGAAUCUUCGGCAAUGGACGGAAGUCUGACCGAGCAACGCCGCGUGAGUGAAGAAGGUUUUCGGAUCGUAAAACUCUGUUGUUAGAGAAGAACAAGGGUGAGAGUAACUGUUCACCCCUUGACGGUAUCUAACCAGAAAGCCACGGCUAACUACGUGCCAGCAGCCGCGGUAAUACGUAGGUGGCAAGCGUUGUCCGGAUUUAUUGGGCGUAAAGCGAGCGCAGGCGGUUUCUUAAGUCUGAUGUGAAAGCCCCCGGCUCAACCGGGGAGGGUCAUUGGAAACUGGGAGACUUGAGUGCAGAAGAGGAGAGUGGAAUUCCAUGUGUAGCGGUGAAAUGCGUAGAUAUAUGGAGGAACACCAGUGGCGAAGGCGGCUCUCUGGUCUGUAACUGACGCUGAGGCUCGAAAGCGUGGGGAGCAAACAGGAUUAGAUACCCUGGUAGUCCA
rnacentral:rRNA from 1 species